CAUUAUACUGACAAUGCUCAUUGUAUCACUUGAUGAUGAUGUUGUGAAAACUAUUGAGACUUAUUUGAACCUGAAUGAGGAGAAGAGUGUUCUUCAAUCUUGAAAAAUGGAUUCCCUUGCAGAGUCCAUCAGAAAAGAGAAGACAAAUGCAUUGUUGGUUUGGGAGCAGUAAGAAUCAUAUUGUGGCAUGCCUUCAUUUAAAUCUUGGAUACAAGAUUCAAUUUUACUUAUUAUUAGGAACCAAUUUAUCAAAUGUAGAGCUUGGUGUUAGGUGAAGAAAUUGGGAGUAUAUAUCUCUGUCAGGAACCAAUGUAUCAAAUGUAGAGCUUGGUGUUAGGUGAAGAAACUGGGAGUAUAUCUCUGUCAUUGGUUCGUUCUGAUUCUGAUUUAGGAGCAUGUGACCAAAUUAGUUUCUUUUGGCCAUGCAUUGUGUUAUGAGUAGUUACGUUGGACCAUAUUGUAUUAUUUUGUUUGAUCUGCCUAUGCACAACUUGGAGAUGCUAAGGAUCCUAUUAACAAUU